GCCUCAGUAGCUCAGCCCGGUAGAGCAUCUGAUUUGUAAUCAGACGGUCGGGGGUUCAACUCCCUCCUGAGGCU
rnacentral:tRNA from 1 species